GAUGGACAACAGGUUGAUAUUCCUGUACUACCGAUAACCGUUUGAGAGAAGGGAUGACACAGUAGGAUAAGCUAAGCACACUGUUGGUUAUGUGUGCCCAAGCAUUGAGGCAGUCAAAGUAGGCAAAUCCGCUUUGAUAAUGCUGGGCUGUGAUGGGGAGCGAAAUUUAGUAGCGAAGUAGCUGAUUUCACACUGUCAAGAAAAGUCUCUAUCGAGGUUAAAGGUACCCGUACCGCAAACCGACACAGGUGGGUGAGGAGAGUAUCCUAAGGCCA
rnacentral:rRNA from 1 species